GCAGAUGUGGCGGAAUUGGCAGACGCGCACGGCUCAGGACCGUGUCGGGUAACCACUCCCGGUGGGAGUUCGAGUCUCCCCAUCUGCACCAUGA
rnacentral:tRNA from 1 species